GAUGAACGCUAGCUACAGGCUUAACACAUGCAAGUCGAGGGGAAACGACAUCGAAAGCUUGCUUUUGAUGGGCGUCGACCGGCGCACGGGUGAGUAACGCGUAUCCAACCUGCCCAUCACUUGGGAAUAACCUUGCGAAAGUAAGACUAAUACCCAAUGACAUCCCACGAAGACAUCUGAAUGGGAUUAAAGAUUUAUCGGUGAUGGAUGGUGAUGCGUCUGAUUAGCUUGUUGGCGGGGUAACGGCCCACCAAGGCAACGAUCAGUAGGGGUUCUGAGAGGAAGGUCCCCCACAUUGGAACUGAGACACAGUCCAAACUCCUACGGGAGGCAGCAGUGAGGAAUAUUGGUCAAGGGGCGAGAGCCUGAACCAGCCAAGUAGCGUGCAGGAUGACGGCCCUAUGGGUUGUAAACUGCUUUUAUAAGGGAAUAAAGUGGGUCUCGUGAGACUUUUUGCAUGUACCUUAUGAAUAAGGACCGGCUAAUUCCGUG
rnacentral:rRNA from 1 species